rnacentral:rRNA from 1 species
AUUGAACGCUGGCGGCAGGCCUAACACAUGCAAGUCGAGCGGAUGAAGGGAGCUUGCUCCUGGAUUCAGCGGCGGACGGGUGAGUAAUGCCUAGGAAUCUGCCUGGUAGUGGGGGAUAACGUCCGGAAACGGGCGCUAAUACCGCAUACGUCCUGAGGGAGAAAGUGGGGGAUCUUCGGACCUCACGCUAUCAGAUGAGCCUAGGUCGGAUUAGCUAGUUGGUGGGGUAAAGGCCUACCAAGGCGACGAUCCGUAACUGGGCUGAGAGGAUGAUCAGUCACACUGGAACUGAAACACGGUCCAGACUCCUACGGGAGGCAGCGGUGGGGAAUAUUAGACAAGUGGCGAAAGCCUGAUCCAGCCAUGCCGCGUGUGUGAAGAAAGUCUUCGGAUUGUAAAGCACUUUAAGUUGGGAGGAAGGGCAGUGAGUUAAUACCUUGCUGUUUUGACGGUACCAACAGAAUAAGCACCGGCUAACUUCGUG